AGCCAAGGGCUUAUGGGGGUCACUAAGUGCUAAAGACCACCGACUCUCACCUCCUCGCUGAAAAGAAGUAUUCUGUGAGGCCAUGGCUAAUUCGUUUUGAUGUAAGAGGCUCAAAACAGUCGGGUCCCUUGUUCUAUCCCACGGCUUAUAUUAUAUUGUACUAGGACGGGUUCCUUCAUCACUUCUCCUCAGACCAAAAUGUAUUGGACGAUAACUAGAAACAUUAAGAGCGGUUGAGAUAACACGUGGCUUUCACUGGAGUUAUCUGAAUAACUGCCUCCAAAGGCUGUUUCCCUGGGCUGGAAAAGACAAUGAUGUCACGGUUACCAAAUUUCUUGCACAAUCAUCAGGCCUCCCUCUAAACUUCUCGGGAUCCGUCGUCUUCCUUCGGAAAAGAUCCUCGGCUUCUGUCUUUUUUACCCCCUUGUGUUUCUGUCAAGACAUUCUCUGUGGAUAUGGGGCAGGUUGUAAAAGAGGGGCCAACAGCUGGAGUCAGGCUUCCUGUGUGAAUGAAAGCCAGCGGGGCUCGUUUCCAGCUUAGUUUGAUAGUUAUCUGGGGCAGUGGUGACUGGGCACCGGCAAGGUUUCGGACGGCUUCCUGCAAUUUCCUGGAUUGUUAGACUGGUGGACGUGUGUGCGCAUGCGCACGCGUGUGCAGAGGCGAGCGGAGAGCAAGGGGAGGCUUCCGCGUGCCUUCCUCGCCUUAGACUUUGCUAAGCGUCAUUAGCUAGACAUAUGCAUGGUGGGAAAAGCAAAAAGCAAAAGUUAGUCACAGUGAGGGAUCCUCACACGGCUACCCCGAAUUACCCAAGAGUGGACUUCGUCAAGUGAUUUCAUCUCCAGGCCCAGUUCUAUUCCUGUACGAGGCCCGCUUCCGGCUCGGAAUCUCUGGCUGCUGUACAAAGGUGUAAAUAUUUCCAAGACACCUUUCAAAAAACCUUUACAUACCCGCCAGCGCCAACUGUGACUUGUGAUCUCCGUUGCACGCCUUUUAGGAAGCACAUGCCAGUGACACACAACCCAGUCUGAAGAGCUGGAGAGAAGACUCUCAACUCCUGCACCGAAUCCUAAAGAAUGGAGGAAGCGAUUCAAGGAAGAGCUGCAUAGAAUAAAGACAGUCUAGAUGGAAGUCACCAAUUGAAUAAUUAUACGGUCGGGAGAGUCGUGACUCGAUAGUGUCAUCUUCAUUUCCAAGGCUCUGGAGGCUCCUUGACUCCACCAGAUGAAUUCGUGAAACUAUCCCCGCCCUGCGCAGGGCUGGGCGCUCCCUCUUCCAAAAGACUUCUCCGAUCAAGGAAAACUAACAGGGAAAGGGGAAUCCACGAGGAGUCAGAUGCUACAGCUGAAAACGUGGGAAAGGUACAGCUCAGCUUGGAUGCAGCAGGCUUGCACUCCUUACUUAUCAAGAUAAGAAGAAAACCAUUAAGCUUGAAGCUGUCUGAACGCAAACCGAACGGCACUUCUCCGAGGCUGGGUAAAGAGCGUGAGAUUCAAAAACCGGACUGACAGAAACUGCUCAGCUUUUCUUCACUCGGUUGUGGGAUGGCUUUAUGAGCUUCCUAGAUGAUAUCAAGAAACCAGAGAAAGAGCCUCCAGCCAGCUCCGACUUAAUAGAACCAUCUGUGGCAUCGGUUCUUUUUAAUUAAGCACUCAGGUGUGUGGGAUCUUCUCGCUGGGUGGCAGCGUCUUGCUCAAGAUGUCCUAGGAUCAUGGGGAGCCCAGGAUGGCCCUCGUAUGUUCAUGACGGAAGCCGCAUUAUUUCAACUCUGCUCUCUCCUCUGCCAUUCAAGAAUCUGAACACAACGUAAACUGUGGCUGAUGUUGGCUGAUGUUAUAGACAACCCUGUUCUGCCAUCCAUAGCUGACUCGAUUUGUGGCGUCUCCCAAGAGAUAUCACUAUAUGCAGGAAAGAGCAUAGACGUAGAUCUAGGCAAACGCAGUUGAAAGCGGUUUAAAUAAAACUUUAUUUCCUUCUGUAUAGAACAGCAUUAAAAAUUAUACUUAUUCGAAGUAGUUAUAUUUAUUUUGUUAAUCUGCUGUGAUGAGGGUGAGGUGUUAUAAAUAUAAAACGAGGGGACUAGUUGAACACUAAUAUGGGGGGGGUGGUUUUUAUUUUUACUUCUCACUUUACAAAUACAUGGCCUUGAUCCGAGAACACUCAAGGUAUCCAUCCAUCUGCCCAAGGGAGGACGAUUAAGAUUUCUAUAAAAGGACCACAAAACAAAAUUAACAACAAAAUGACAAAUGCCCAGCUUCUGCCAUUUAAAUUAUGGCUUGGCUUAGAACGUGAUUUAGUUUCAGUGAAGCAAAAACACUUAGAACUUUGAGAAACAUUAGAAAUCUGGUUUAAAUGAAGCAAAACAAAAGCCUUUCUGGCAAGACUUUACACACACACACACACGCCAAAUUCAUCUACUUUUAUUUUCUUCAGUGUGCUUGGAUGAACCAUAGAGUUUUAUAUAAGAGGCAAAGAGAGCAGGAGAAUAGGAAGAAGCUUCUCUUUGCCAUCCCUGAGGCAAUUCUGUGAGAGAGUGAAGUGGCCAGACAGACGCCACAGUACAGGCGUGGAAUUCAUGGACUCCCGUACUGUGUAUUCACGUCUCAGAAAUGGACACCUUCUAGAAAGCUGUGCACUGCUCAAGAGG